GCUCUACACGCUGAUCAUGGUGGACCCCGACGUCCCGGGCCACGGGCCGGGCAGGUUCUGGCUGCACUGGAUCGUCGCUAACAUCCCGGGUGGCGAUUUUGUUUCCGGAAUAUUCGACUCUGCCAACGUCAUAGCAGAGUACCAGAAGCCCGAGCCGCCGGCGGGCACGGGCGCGCACCGCUACCUGCUGCUG